rnacentral:rRNA from 2 species
AACGCGUAUGCAAUCUACCUUUUACAGAGGGAUAGCCCAGAGAAAUUUGGAUUAAUACCUCAUAGUAUAUCAGCUCGGCAUUAAUAAUUAUUUAAAGUCACAACGGUAAAAGAUGAGCAUGCGUCCCAUUAGCUAGUUGGUAAGGUAACGGCUUACCAAGGCUACGAUGGGUAGGGGUCCUGAGAGGGAGAUCCCCCACACUGGUACUGAGACACGGACCAGACUCCUACGGGAGGCAGCAGUGAGGAAUAUUGGACAAUGGGCGCAAGCCUGAUCCAGCCAUGCCGCGUGCAGGAUGACGGUCCUAUGGAUUGUAAACUGCUUUUAUACGAGAAGAAACACUCCUUCGUGAAGGAGCUUGACGGUAUCGUAAGAAUAAGGAUCGGCUAACUCCGUGCCAGCAGCCGCGGUAAUACGGAGGAUCCAAGCGUUAUCCGGAAUCAUUGGGUUUAAAGGGUCCGUAGGCGGUUUAAUAAGUCAGUGGUGAAAGCCCAUCGCUCAACGGUGGAACGGCCAUUGAUACUGUUAGACUUGAAUUAUUAGGAAGUAACUAGAAUAUGUAGUGUAGCGGUGAAAUGCUUAGAGAUUACAUGGAAUACCAAUUGCGAAGGCAGGUUACUACUAAUUGAUUGACGCUGAUGGACGAAAGCGUGGGUAGCGAACAGGAUUAGAUACCCUGGUAGUCCACGCCGUAAACGAUGGAUACUAGCUGUUGG